rnacentral:rRNA from 1 species
UACGGAGGGUGCAAGCAUUGAUCGGAAUUACUGGGCGUAAAGGGCGCGUAGGCGGCAAGAGAAGUCAGAUGUGAAAUUCCCGGGGCUACCAGCCCGGACGCUGCAUUUGAAACUGACUAGCUAGAGGUUAGUAAGGGAAACGGAAUUCCACGUGUAGCGGUGAAAUGCGUAGAUAUGUGGAAGAACACCGGUGGUGAAGACGGUUUCUGUGCUAAACCUGACGCUGAGGCGCGAAAGCUAGGGGAGCAAACAGG